UGACACAGGAGACAGAUGUAGCUGCAUUGCCAUCUGUGGAGGUCUUCACAUACAGAUUGAGCAGAAGUUUAGGUAAGGCGGUGUCCAGAAUGGCUUGGGAAUUUCCCUCAUCUUGGGACAAGGAGAUGAACUUCACAAUUCUCCAUCACUGGAGCACCACAUGCACAUACAUGUGUAGCUCUGGAUGUGAGGGAAUCAUGGAGGUGAUGCACUAUCAAAAUAUACUCUUCAAGAUGGGAAGGCCCUCAGCACAGCAUUUCUCUGCAUUAUCUGAUAGACUCCACUCUAAGGGGCUGUUCCCAAGAAGCUUCUUUGCUGGUAUCUUUUAGGAUGACUUUUGGAUUUCCCCAUGCCCAGGAGGAUCUCCCUAACACAGUAUCCCGUGCUAUUUCAUUUGUUUGGUUUAGAGGAGGUUUAUCUGUGUACCUCUCAGAUGAUUCCCAGCUCCCCCAGAGGACCAAUCUACUCAGCAGGAGGAAAUCAC
ensembl:lncRNA